rnacentral:rRNA from 1 species
AAAGAGUGCGUAAUAGCUCACUGGUCAAGUGAUUCCGCGCCGACAAUGUAACGGGGCUCAAGCACACCACCGAAGUUGUAGAUUUCGCACUAUAGACAAGCCUUCGUGGUUCAGUCGUGCGGAGUGGUAGGAGAGCGUCGUGUGGCGAGUGAAGCGGCGGAGGAAUCCAGCCGUGGACGCCACACGAGUGAGAAUGCAGGCAUGAGUAGCGAAAGACGUGUGAGAAACACGUCCUCCGAAAGACCAAGGGUUCCAGGGUCAAGCUAAUCUGCCCUGGGUAAGUCGGGACCUAAGGCGAGGCCGACAGGCGUAGUCGAUGGACAACGGGUUGAUAUUCCCGUGCCCACGCAAGCGCGUCCAGUGGCGAGGCUGUUGAUACUAACCACCUGUUGUGUGUUCGGUGCCUUCGGGUGUUGAGCAUGUGAUGGCUGGGAUCUGAUUCGGUAGUAGUCAAGCGAUGGGGUGACGCAGGAGGGUAGCUCCGCCAGGCGUUGGUUGUCCUGGUGCAAGCCUGUAGCCCGACAUCCAGGUAAAUCCGGGUGUCUGACUUUGAUGUCGUGGGUGAGAGGUGAUGCGUAGCCGAUUGAGGCGAAGUAGGGUGAUCCCAUGCUGCCGAGAAAAGCCUCUAGCGAGUGCUGUUGCGGCCCGUACCCUAAACCGACACAGGUGGUCAGGUAGAGAAUACCGAGGCGAUCGAGCGAACUGUGGUUAAGGAACUCGGCAAAAUGCCCCCGUAACUUCGGGAGAAGGGGGGCCGGAGGCUCUGAAGCUCCUUGCGGGCUAGGGGCAGCCGGUCGCAGAGACCAGGCCCAAGCGACUGUUUACUAAAAACACAGGUCCGUGCGAAGUCGCAAGACGAUGUAUACGGACUGACGCCUGCCCGGUGCUGGAACGUUAAGAGGACCCGUUAGUCCUUCGGGGCGAAGCGGAGAAUUUAAGCGCCAGUAAACGGCGGUGGUAACUAUAACCAUCCUAAGGUAGCGAAAUUCCUUGUCGGGUAAGUUCCGACCUGCACGAAUGGCGUAACGAUGGCGGCGCUGUCUCCACCCGAGACUCAGUGAAAUUGAAAUCGCUGUGAAGAUGCAGUGUAUCCGCGGCUAGACGGAAAGACCCCGUGAACCUUUACUAUAGCUUUGCACUGGACUUUGAAUUUGCUUGUGUAGGAUAGGUGGGAGGCUUUGAAGCGUGGACGCCAGUCUGCGUGGAGCCAUCCUUGAAAUACCACCCUGGCAACUUUGAGGUUCUAACUCAGGUCCGUUAUCCGGAUCGAGGACAGUGUAUGGUGGGUAGUUUGACUGGGGCGGUCUCCUCCUAAAGAGUAACGGAGGAGUACGAAGGUGCGCUCAGACCGGUCGGAAAUCGGUCGUAGAGUAUAAAGGCAAAAGCGCGCUUGACUGCGAGACAGACACGUCGAGCAGGUACGAAAGUAGGUCUUAGUGAUCCGGUGGUUCUGUAUGGAAGGGCCAUCGCUCAACGGAUAAAAGGUACUCCGGGGAUAACAGGCUGAUACCGCCCAAGAGUUCAUAUCGACGGCGGUGUUUGGCACCUCGAUGUCGGCUCAUCACAUCCUGGGGCUGAAGCCGGUCCCAAGGGUAUGGCUGUUCGCCAUUUAAAGUGGUACGCGAGCUGGGUUUAGAACGUCGUGAGACAGUUCGGUCCAUAUCCGGUGUGGGCGUUAGAGCAUUGAGAGGACCUUUCCCUAGUACGAGAGGACCGGGAAGGACGCACCUCUGGUGUACCAGUUAUCGUGCCCACGGUAAACGCUGGGUAGCCAAGUGCGGAGCGGAUAACUGCUGAAAGCAUCUAAGUAGUAAGCCCACCCCAAGAUGAGCUGAAUUGAUCUUCUUUGGGGGC